AGCGGCGAACGGGUGAGUAACACGUAGGUGAUCUGCCCAUCAGACGGGGACAACGAUUGGAAACGAUCGCUAAUACCGGAUAGGACGAAAGUUUAAAGGUGCUUCUGGCACCGCUGAUGGAUGAGCCUGCGGCGCAUUAGCUAGUUGGUAGGGUAAAGGCCUACCAAGGCGACGAUGCGUAGCCGACCUGAGAGGGUGAACGGCCACACUGGGACUGAGACACGGCCCAGACUCCUACAGGAGGCAGCAGUAGGGAAUCUUCGGCAAUGGGCGAAAGCCUGACCGAGCAACGCCGCGUGAAUGAUGAAGGCCUUCGGGUUGUAAAAUUCUGUUAUAAGGGAAGAACGACUUUAGUAGGAAAUGGCUAGAGUGUGACGGUACCUUAUGAGAAAGCCACGGCUAACUACGUGCCAGCAGCCGCGGUAAUACGUAGGUGGCGAGCGUUAUCCGGAAUUAUUGGGCGUAAAGAGCGCGCAGGUGGUUGAUUAAGUCUGAUGUGAAAGCCCACGGCUUAACCGUGGAGGGUCAUUGGAAACUGGUCGACUUGAGUGCAGAAGAGGGAAGUGGAAUUCCAUGUGUAGCGGUGAAAUGCGUAGAGAUAUGGAGGAACACCAGUGGCGAAGGCGGCUUCCUGGUCCGUAACUGACACUGAGGCGCGAAAGCGUGGGGAGCAGACAGGAUUAGAUACCCUGGUAGUCCACGCCGUAAACGAUGAGUGCUAAGUGU
rnacentral:rRNA from 1 species